rnacentral:tRNA from 1 species
CGGCUUGUAGCGCAGCCUGGUAGCGCACUUGCAUGGGGUGCAAGGGGUCGCGAGUUCGAAUCCCGCCAAGCCGACCA